rnacentral:rRNA from 1 species
UCUGCUAAGUCGCAAGACGAUGUAUAGGAGCUGACGCCUGCCCGGUGCCGGAGUGUUAAGGGGAUCCGUUAGAGCAAUCGAAGCAGUGAACUUAAGCCCCAGUAAACGGCGGCCGUAACUAUAACGGUCCUAAGGUAGCGAAAUUCCUUGUCGGGUAAGUUCCGACCCGCACGAAAGGCGUAACGAUUUGGGCACUGUCUCAACAACAGACUCGGUGAAAUUGUAAUUCCGGUGAAGAUGCCGGAUACCUGCGACAGGACGGAAAGACCCCAUGGAGCUUUACUGUAGCUUGACAUUGGGUCUUGGUACUACAUGUACAGGAUAGGUGGGAGGCUUUGAAACCAGGACGCCAGUUUUGGCGGAGCCAUCCUUGGGAUACCACCCUUGUAGUACUGGGACUCUAACCAUAGACCAUGAAUCUGGUCUUGGGACACUGUCAGGUGGGCAGUUUGACUGGGGCGGUCGCCUCCCAAAAGGUAACGGAGGCGCUCAAAGGUUCUCUCAGUACGGUCGGAAAUCGUACGUAGAGUGUAAAGGCAAAAGAGAGCUUGAUUGCAAGACAUACAGGUCGAGCAAGGAUGAAAAUCGGACUUAGUGAUCCGGUGGUUCUGCGUGGAAGGGCCAUCGCUCAACGGAUAAAAGCUACCCUGGGGAUAACAGGCUUAUCUCCCCCAAGAGUCCACAUCGACGGGGAGGUUUGGCACCUCGAUGUCGGCUCAUCACAUCCUGGGGCUGUAGUAGGUCCCAAGGGUUGGGCUGUUCGCCCAUUAAAGUGGUACGCGAGCUGGGUUCAGAACGUCGUGAGACAGUUCGGUCCCUA